UCUUCGCUAGUAUAUCGGUUAGUACACGCGCCUGUCAUAAGCCAUGGCUGCCUUGCCAAUCGCGCGAAAGCUGGGUUCGACUCCCAGGCGAAGAG